rnacentral:rRNA from 1 species
AGUGAACGCUGGCGGUAGGCCUAACACAUGCAAGUCGAACGGCAGCACAGUAAGAGCUUGCUCUUACGGGUGGCGAGUGGCGGACGGGUGAGGAAUACAUCGGAAUCUACUUUUUCGUGGGGGAUAACGUAGGGAAACUUACGCUAAUACCUCAUACGACCUACGGGUGAAAGCAGGGGAUCUUCGGACCUUGCGCGAUUGAAUGAGCCGAUGUCGGAUUAGCUAGUUGGCGGGGUAAAGGCCCACCAAGGCGACGAUCCGUAGCUGGUCUGAGAGUAUGAUCCGCCACACUGUAACUGAGACACGGUCCUGACUCCUGCGGGAGGCAGCCUUGGGGAAUAUUGGACAAUGGGCGCAAGCCUGAUCCAGCCAUACCGCGUGGGUGAAGAGGGCCUUCGGGUUGUAAAGCCCUUUUGUUGCGGGAGAAAAGCAGCAGGUUAGUCCCCCGCUGUUCUGACGGUACCCAACGAAUAAGCACCGGCUAGCUUCGUG